GGCCUCUCUCGCCUGGCAAGGCCUGCCUAAUGCGUCAGUCCAGGCCAUGGAAUGAGGUCCUGCCGUUGGCACAGUGGAAGGGGCUUUGGCAGCUGGUGCGACUGCUGUGUCAUCCCUGGGUACCUGGGUAGCGCUCAGCUGUCUGGACUCAGUCUCCGCAUCUGUACCCUGUGUGCUCCUGCCCGCCUUCCCCAGUGUGAGGGGGAGCAAGGCUGAGGAGGGAGCAGGCCGUGAGCAACGCUUCAGAUCCGCACGUGCCUUCUUAGCUGGGGGACAUGGCCUCCCUCGUGGGGUCCCCACUCCAGACUAGGAACCCCAAGGCUCGCGCAGUCACUGGGAGGGGUCAGUCAGGCAUCCAAAACUCAGGAGGGAAGAGAACUGGGCUGGGAUCCCAGCUGCUGCCUUCAGGUGGCCACGACCUGGUGGUCAGUAGGCCCUUGCUGCCCUUUCUGCUAUGGAGUGUAGGGUCCUGUCACCCUGACCCCCAGUGGAAUUCAGGGGCAAAAGUUGGGGGUCUCUGUUGUUGAUCCCUGGGCACCUCCCUGCGGCCAGUCCUGCAGCUGCAGGAGCGAGUGGCAGCUUUGCAAUCUUGAGGGCCUGCACUUCUCCCCCCAGCGGCGAAGGCAGUGCCUGCGCAGGCGCUAACACAGAGUCUGCACAUAGCACAAAACCAAUCUGCACCAAGAAAUGAGCCCACCAGGACACCCUCGCGGUGCCGGAAGCCCCCAGCGCAAGGCAACUUGCAAACCCCAAAGGUGCCCUCAGCACUGUCGCCUCCCUCCCGGCAGGCUGCGUGCCGCGCCCCCUGGCGGCAGGAGUCAGGGCUGCGCCCUGGGCUCGCGAUUGCCAGAGUCCUGGGUUUCUCCCCGAAGAAUUUUCAGUCCAGCCUUUUGGUAAUCAGGGCGGAGAAGCGGCCCUGACAGCCACCUGCACCCCAGCUUUCUAAUACAUGGACACGGACCCCCCCAUUCACUUGUGCUGAUGCCAAGGGUCCUAGGCAGAACUGGCCUCUGGUGGGAGCCACAGGUGGAUGGUUUUCCAGAACAGAGCUGCUGAGAUAAAACGUCUGAUGUGACCCACAGAUGUCCCUCAACCUGGUGAGGACCCUGUGGCCCUUGCAUCCUCAUCUAGGGCCAGGCCAGCAGGUCAGGGGUGUGCCCUGCCCCGAGAAGAGGGCAGGGAAGCUCCACUGGAGAUGCCAGGUGCAGGGUCAGCUGAACAGACAGACUGGGCACAACCUGGGCUUGGCUCCUGCUCCUCCUCUGCAUGCUGCUUCAGCCUCUCCAGCUGAGCAGGGCAGUGGCAGCAGCCCCCUUAGCAGGUGGAUGAGGAGAAUGCCUGGGCCAUGAGGGCUUAGGGGUGUAGGCACAGCAAUGCCAGGCUGGCAGAGCCACAGGGACAGGCAGUGGUGACUGGCCCCAUGGAGCAGGGCUGGCACCACCCAGGGCCUGGUGAGGGCUUUGAGCCAGGGACCAGUGGAUGGC
ensembl:lncRNA